rnacentral:tRNA from 1 species
CGGAUUAUAGCUCAGAUGGUUAGAGCACUGCCCUGAUAAGGCAGGGGUCCUUAGUUCAAAUCUAAGUAAUCCGA